UACGGGGGGGGCAAGCGUUGUUCGGAAUUACUGGGCGUAAAGGGCUCGUAGGCGGCCAACUAAGUCGGACGUGAAAUCCCCAGGCUCAACCUGGGAACUGCGUCCGAUACUGGAUGGCUUGAAUUCGGGAGAGGGAUGCAGAAUUCCAGGUGUAGCGGUGAAAUGCGUAGAUAUCGGGAGGAACAUCAGUGGCGAAGGCGGCUACCUGGCCCAAUACUGACACUCAGGUGCGACAGCGUGGGGAGCAAACAGG
rnacentral:rRNA from 1 species